rnacentral:rRNA from 1 species
GGGAUUGCCUCAGUAACGGCGAGUGAAGCGGCAACAGCUCAAAUUUGAAAUCUGGCCCUUCUGGGGUCCGAGUUGUAAUUUGUAGAGAGUGCUUCGGGGGAGACCGCGGUCUAAGUCCAUUGGAACAUGGCGUCCCAGAGGGUGAGAAUCCCGUAUGUGACCGCGGCUCGAGCCCAUGUGAAGCCUCUUCGACGAGUCGAGUUGUUUGGGAAUGCAGCUCUAAAUGGGUGGUAAAUUNCAUCUAAAGCUAAAUACUGGCUGGAGACCGAUAGCGCACAAGUAGAGUGAUCGAAAGAUGAAAAGCACUUUGGAAAGAGAGUUAAACAGUACGUGAAAUUGUUGAAAGGGAAGCGCUUGCAACCAGACCUGCCCGUAGGCGAUCAACCGCUGUUCUCAGCGGUGCACUCGUUCUGCGAUCAGGCCAGCAUCGGUUCGGGCGGUCGGAUAAAGGCCUUGGGAAUGUAGCUUCCCUUCGGGGGAGUCUUAUAGCCCUCGGUGCAAUGCGGCCAGCCGGGACCGAGGACCGCGCUUCGGCUAGGAUGCUGGCGUAAUGGUUGUAAGCGACCCGUCUUGAAACACGGACCAAGGAGUCUACCAUCUAUGCGAGUGUUUGGGUGUCAAACCCAUGCGCGAAAUGAAAGUGAACGGAGGUGAGAACCCUUAAGGGCGCAUCAUCGACCGAUCCAGAUGUCUUCGGAUGGAUUUGAGUAUGAGCAUGGCUGGUGGGACCCGAAAGAUGGUGAACUAUGCCUGAAUAGGGUGAAGCCAGAGGAAACUCUGGUGGAGGCUCGCAGCGGUUCUGACGUGCAAAUCGAUCGUCAAAUUUGGGUAUAGGGGCGAAAGACUAAUC